GCGUCGGUGGAGUAAUGGUCUACAGCAUUCCCGCCUAGUCGGGUGAAGGUGUGGGUUCGAGUCCCACCUGGCGCU
rnacentral:tRNA from 1 species